GCCCCUGUGGCGCAGUGGUCAGCGCGCUCGGUGCUGUAUUCCCGUCAUGUACUAGCUCUACAGCGUUACUGACUACCCCCGAGUCUUUCCAUAUCUCACGAGGUAUGGAUUGAGCAAGGGUACAAGGUCCUUAGAGAAUGGGUACAUAACGGGAACCAUGGAGAGGUCCUCGGUUCGACUCCGAGCAGAAGCA
rnacentral:tRNA from 1 species